AUGAGAGAUACAGGUGUUAAACAACUUACCAGUAAGAGCCUACAGACAUCAUCAUCAUCAUCAUCAUCAUCAUCAUUAUUAUUAUUAUUAGAUUAUUCGUUCCAUAUCGAUGAUAAUGGCCAGGCACAUUAGUAAGUUCCUCAAGAUUUACAGAUAUUCAUCACAACAAGGAUUCCCCUUUCAGAUGGACAUUGCAUAAAAUUACAUCUAAAUAUCAUAUACAGAAUUUUUUAUGAUUUUACAGAUGGCUCAUCAAAAGGUCAAGGAGCAUAUAUUUUAUAUACAAAUCCCACAUGCUCCACAAAAGGUCAUACAAAUCAACAGUCUAAACUCGACCCAGUCCAUCAGCCUUGAUCAGGUGUUUCUCAGUCAUUGGAUAUUUGAAGUGAUGUCAUGUAGGAACUGCCACAUGAAGGGUAGAGGUGCAUGGAGAAUGGAAACUGGCCAAACUUGAGAGAGCAGGAAUGUUGCAAAAGAGCUGUGAGCGCAGAGAGGGUAACAGAUGCUGCAAACCUUUGGAAGGAGGUCUUUGAGGACGGAGUCCAGUGAACAGAAGUUGGAAUAGAUGGGUCAUGAGUAGCUUGAGACAGAAACGGAAGAGAGGUGCAGUGCACUCCCUCCUACAACUGAGUCUCCUUGCCUUGAAAAGCAAAUGUAAGUAAAUUAAAAACCCACAAAUCCAGCUGUAUUGACACAGGACCGUGAGACAAAACUGCUGCCACCUCUGUCUGUAGAACAAAAGCAGGAAGGGUGUGCCAACAGGAAAGCCAAGAGGGGCCGUGCCUAACAAUAAAGCCAGGAGCAGCCGUGCUGGCUGUUACAGGGAGUUGUGUGUUACUGAGAGUACACACAGAAGCUUUCCCUGCUGAUGCCUGCUCAAAUUAUGGGUCCAUCCAAUGGUGUGCUCGCAGCUUUAGGAACAGAAGGAGCUGCUCCCUGUCCUUUACAUCCAACAGUGUGGGAGACAUUCUCAUUUCAGACUUUUGAGGCACGGAGGACCCAAACCACCCAUAUUACUUUGAUUUGAUGACGACUGGACUUCAACUUUUAAAAGCAACAAGGUUCACUACGCUAUCACGGCUGGCCUGAGAUUGACUUAGUAGACAAGACUGGCCGUGAAGUCACAGAUUUGUUUGCCUCUGUUUUACAGGUCUUUGGAACAAAGGGCUGGGGAUGAACCCAGGGCCUCUCAGAUGCUAGACACGUGCUCCACUCCUGAGAUGCACUCCCUACCCCCUCAAUGGAGCAUCAGAGGUAGUGCUCCAUAUCUGUGGUUGUGGCUGGCUGUGGCUCAGUGAGUGAUGAGACUCCAUGUGUGCACUUCCAAACUCAGGGGCAACACUGUUCAUGUCUCCACUUAUGGAUGGGGACCCUGACAAUUCACCGUGAUCAAGAACAAUGAUGAUGGGCCAGAAAUGGUAGCCCAUGCCUUUGGGAGACAGAGGCAGCCAGAAGUUUGUGAAUUCAAGGCCACCCUGGUCUACAUACCACAUUCCAGAGCAGUCAGGGCUACACAGUCAGACCUUGCCUCAAAACAAAGAAGUGAAGAACAAGAACGUGAAUUUCUGGAGAUGCUCUAAGUUUUAGAAUGCUUACCUAUUGUACUUGAUGUUCUGGGUUCAAGUCUUAGCACUGAAUAAACCAGUUGUAUCAACUUCUGGCCUGUAACUCAGGAGAUGGAAACAAAGGGAUCACAAUUUGAGGUUGUGCCCCCUAGAUGGAUCACUGAGGAAAGGCUUUUGCUGUGCAAACCUGGUGGCGACUUGAGUUCAAUUCUCCACGACCCACUUACAAGUAGAAGUUGGAAGCAGUCUGCAGAAGAGUUGCUGAAGACCACCACACAGAGCAAGGCCAUGGAGUGCUACAUCCCCACACAUAGUGCUUAGGCCCUGCUGUCUCCACCACACACCAAGAAAAGCUGCUGCGGGGAGCCAAAAGGACAUAGAGCUAGGAUACAGGAUGAGCCACAGAGAUAAUCCACAGGAAUGUUAGUUCAGCCUCGGGGUCCAAAGGCAAAGCUGGAACCCUGAAAAGGCCUCUUCAAAGCAGAGAGAAGGUGACCAAAGUCUGAUGAAAAAUGCUAUUGGUGUCAAAGAUGAGAGAAGACGGAGCUGCCAUGGCUUGGCCACGCACCUAAGCUGCAAGAGAAGCCCUGGCUGUGAUCCUUAGCUUGAACUCAAUAUCAGGUGGUGCUAGACUUGAAUUUGUGAUCCUCCUUUUCCAGAGUGCCAAGAAAGCAGACUCUUUGUAGGACCCCAACUGCCUCACUGGAGUGGAUCAGUCGCACUUGCACCUGGGCCCAUCCAGCCCAGAGCAGGGGGAAGGACAAGAGGAAUCCAGGAGAGAACAUUGAAUCCUGUGAAACUCAAAACUCAAGAUACAAAUGGUUGUGGCCUGCCAUAUGGUUGCUAGGAACUGAACCCAGGUACUUGGGGAUCAAUUUAGGUCAUCAGGUUUGGUAAAUAGCUCCCUCACCUGCUGAGCCAUCUUGCUGAUCCCACUGCUGACAUCAUCUGGUAUGCUGGAGAAGAGUAGUAGCUUAGAAGCUUACACGCUCUGCAGAACCAAGAACUUAAAUAUCUAAACUGGCAGUGGAGACAGAGAACCGAGAGGAAUCUCACUGUGUACAUUGGUAAAUCAACAAGAUUUGAGGCACCCAUGGCAUAGUUGUGGCCCCCCUCUACAGAGCACUGAAACACUGGCUAUCUGAUAACCUGUGAACCAGCACCAUGCCCUAUGCCUGGCCCACUUCAAGUCCUAUUUGAGGAAGCCACUGCUAUCGAUCAAAUCAGCUACCUUCUUUCUGAGGACACAGAGCUCAGUCAUGAGUGGAAACUAGGAACAGUGAGCUGCAGGAGUUACUUCAACCAAGAGGACUUGGGCCCAAGCCAGGUACCUCAGCCUAGAAAGUAGAACUGAUACUGGCUCUCAGAUGGGGAAAGGAGUUUCCCACCACACACCCAGACUGUCAGUUGACAUGCUUUUACUACUCAGCUUAUGAUCUGUAGAGAAAGAGGGCUUCCCAUUGAUGGGGGAAAGGCUCUUAGAAAGUCAUGGCACUCCUAGAGUGUAUUUGGCCUUCUCUACAAUUUGCUGUCUUUCGUCUUUCUCUUUCUUUUCUCUCCCCACUUCUGUCUCCAAUGUCCUCAAUUAACCUCUUCCAUGUGGGAGGGUAAAAAAAAAAUACUGUCCUCCCCAUUAUGAAUAGAGGGUCCUGGUCUACCUGCCACCACCCUCUGUCUCUACUGUAAGGUGAGGAACAGGGACACAGGCAAAAUAUUACCUAGAGUGACUACACACAGCAACCCAUAUCCAUCUUGACCUUUGUCUGCUGAUGUCUACGGGUCUAGUUUACAGAGAAAAGGGAAAGUAUAGCAAUUUGUCUUUGAGAUAGAAAGAAAGAGUUUACAAUUCUAUGAGUGCCAUUUGGCUGGAUUCCCAGGUUGCCAGAAACAAGGGAGUUUCCAUUGCAAAAAUAGGGAUUAUAAAACUGAGGUUUCAAGUGAAAAAUCCUUUAAAAAAUUCUGGCCUUGGGAGACAGGACCAACCUGUGCUGCAGGAAGGGACCCUGGGGAUAGAGUUAAUCAUUUCCAAAAUCAAGGACAAGCAGCCAAGAUUGCUGGUAACGCUCAGACACCCCUUCCCUGCACAGCCUAGGGAUAGGAACUAACCAGGCUGUCAGUCCAUGGACAGCGACUGACGAAACUCACUGUGACUGGGACAGUCCAAAUUAACACUAGAGGACUUGGAAGGGGCUGAAACUUAUCUAACCUCACAGACUCUUUUUUUUUUUUUUUUUUUUUUUUUUUUAGGCAUUUCCCCUCAUUCUGAUGUCUGCUGUUCGGCCUUAAGGGCUAAUUCAGGGGAUUCACAGACUGUCUCAGUCACUGAUUUGUCUAAACUAUGCAGGCAAUCAACUUCUAAAGGGCUAGCCCUAAUCAUCACUCACACAGAGACUGAACAAUACAGAGGCUGGACAGGCAUCUGGAGACUGGAGAAAUACAGAGCCUGAGCAACUACCCAUUUCCCUCCUUAGGGCCCUAACAGGAAUUCUCCACCCCAGUUCAGCAGGAAGCAAUUUUACAUAGACCGUUGCCCUGGUCCCUUAAGUUGGGGUGGAUAGGUUUGGUCAUUUGUUGUGUACCAGUUGUUAUGAUCUAGGAUGUAAUGUUCUUAUUAGUUAUGAUCAGGUAUUGAUACAAAUUCAGUCAUUUUGUUUGAAUAAUUUAAGGUUUCUUCGUUAAUUAUGUAUUGAUAUAAAUUUAAACUUUUUAUUGAAUUAUUGUAUAUUGAUCAGGUGCCUAUGGAGGUCAGAGUUGGGUGUCAGAUCUCUCAGAACUGGAGUUGCAGGCAUCGGGAGCCACUGGGCAUAAGUGCUGGUAACUGACCUCAGGUUGUCUGGAAGAGCAGCAAGCAUUUUUAACCGCUGAGCCCUCUCCUGCCCUCUAUUUCCCUCCUUCGUAUUCCUCCCUCUUCCAGGUCUGCUUUCCUCUGGGUGUGUCCUCAUUAGUUUAACUAAGGUGGCUCUCAAGUACACGGCAAGUUACCAGUAACCACAGCACUGAGGGAAACGUCUUCCUCUUUCUACAGGAACCACUAACAGUCGGUAGAUUUAGUAGGGAAAAGGCCUUCUGAGAUGCUCCAUAGUAAUCCCUGUUUUGUUGGGUUCCCCUUUUUAGGUCACUUUUGAGACGGAUCUAACUGCACUAUUGGCCUGGAGCUUGUUUUGUAUGCCAUCCUAGGAAUGGAGUAGGUAACAAACCUUGCCUUUCAUACAACACACAGUUGCUGUGGAAAUGAGAUCACCAUCUCUGGAAAGAAGGCAUUCAUUUUUUAGUCUCUUACACUCUGAUUGCUCUCAGAAGAAUGUCCAAUUUGUCUUCUUGUAUUUCAAAUCAUUCAUCUUCUAAGUCAAGUAAGAAAUCUAUAUUUUCAUGCAAAAAAAACCUGUACUGCUUAAAUAUCUAUAACAAUACCCUGUGAGUUAAAAUUCCUGUUUUCAUAGACAGACAAAUAGGAAAAGCUUCCUCCUGACACUUCUUGACUUUUUCUUGAAUGUAACUUCAUAGAAGAGACAGAGGCUUAUCCUAACCUCUUACCUUGCUUUUGCAGGAGGCAGGGAUUUAAAUUUGUUUCCUUUUGCAUUUUUUUUGGAACAUGCUUCUUUCCCUGUAACCCUGGCUGUUCUGGAACUUGCUCUGCAGACCAGACUGACCUUGAAUUCAUAGAUCUGCCUGCCUCUGCCUCCUCCUGAGUUCUGGGAUUAAAGUAGGAGCCACACUGUCCAGUCUUACUUUGUUUUCUUACUUACUGUGUCAGUCUCAUCCAUGUAUACAAUGCAUUUUGAUCACACUCACCCCAUUAUGGUCUAUCUCCGUCUCACUCUCACUGAUCACCUUCACCCCUGCCUCUCCCUGUGUGUGUGUGUGUGUGUGUGUGUGUGUGUGUGUGUGUGUGUGUGUGUAUGUGUGUGUAUGUACACACAAGAGUUUUCCUAUUCCCUGGCUUUUCCCCCUCAAUGCUAAAAUGGGACCAGACAUAGAAAGACUUCUUCCUCUUUACCCUGGACACAGAGGACAACAUCCUUUAAAGUCAAGAGAACUGAGGAGUUGCUGGUGUGGAACACAGCCAUUAAUUACCAUUUUCCCAGAGCAGCGGUGAGAACAGGCCAGGGAACCUCAGCAAGGCCAAGUCUGCCGACUCCCGUGUUGGCAGAGGUUUCGGGAGGUUCCUUAGAUCCUUCUCUGAAAUUCCAGCAGCCCCACUCCCAUCCUUUCCCUCUGUCUGCAGUCCUCCUCCAGCUCCAGCGGUGUCUGGAGGGGCUGCAGCAUGUACAGGUGAGUGCUAAUAACAGGGCGAACUCCAUGUAUGCAGCUGUACAGAGGUUGUAUGUGGAGUACAUUUGCUUAUGUGGUUGUUAGGGGCAACUUCUUACUCGCGCUACUGUAAGUAACCCCAAUCAACCCAUUUAUUCACCAAGCUCUCUUGUCUGCUGUUCAUGCCCAAUGUUGGGCAAGCAGACAUUUGCUCAGGCCUUCCCAACAAUAGUCCACAUACUCGCCUAUACUUUUCUCCUUGGGUCUUCCCAGGACAACUUCUUCUGAGCUUAAAUUCCCUGAUGGAGUCCAACACACGGUACCUGCUCACACUCCUUCUAGAGUGAUGUUCUCCCCAGCAGCUGAUGCCCCAAAUAUCUUUCAGCUGUAGAAGUAGGAGGAAUGAAAGCCCCCGGUUCACUCUCCAAGAUUAAAGAAGUUAACCGAUCUACCCAUGGGAGAAGUGGUAAGGAAGCCAUCGGGAGGCAGGGAAAGUACUUACUAAAACCAGAAAGACCAAGACCACGGUCAGAAUCUUGUAGUCCUUGAAUUGCCCCAUGAACAGAUCCACACAGCCUGGACUUUCCUUCAGUUGUAAGUAUGAAUCCUGACAGCUCGUAAAGCAUCAUAAGGUUAGCAGGUCCUCCCAUGACAGAGGAGCUGAUUCACUGUGUUGGCUUCUCAUUUACGUUCGCACUGUCAUCUGACGUGCGUACAUGCAGCCAGACAGAAGUUUCAGCAGUUGGUGCUGAGGUCCUGCUGGCUCUGUUACAUAGAUGUUGGGGCAGAAUUCAAGUUCUAUGUUCAAAGACUCCUGAUUCCCAGUGAGCCAGCAGGAAAGUGUGCCCAACAGAGUGUCCCCAUUGACACCCACAGGGAGUAAAUGGGAUCUUAACUUUUUUAUUUUCCCCUGAGGGUUCUAGUGUAAUACCUGUUCUUGCUGUAAGAAGGGGGCGGGGGGGAGUGUCUUCAACCAAUAGGCUAGGAAAACUCUGUGUGUUAAGAGCAGCAUCCAUGUUUGCUGUUUAUUAUCCUGGCAUGCCAAUUGCACAGCAGUUACUGGGAAGUCAGAGGUAGGCUGAAGAGCCACAGAGGAGGAAGACAUUCUGCUCCAAAGAAAAAGAAAGACAGAAAGACAGAAAGACAGAAAGACAGAAAGACAGAAAGACAGAAAGACAGAAAGACAGAAAGAAAGAAAGAAAGAAAGAAAGAAAGAAAGAAAGAAAGAAAGAAAGAAAGAAAGAAAGAAGGAAGGAAGGAAGGAAGGAAGGAAGGAAGGAAGGAAGGAAGGAAGGAAAGAAAGAAGAGAGUGAGCCAGCUAAGGCAGCUCUGAUUAGAGCUUGGAAUGUCACAUUUGGAUUAGCAUUUGAUGUAAUUUUGAGGUUUUUUUCUGUAUGUGUCAAAAUAAUUUUAUUGGAAAGAGCAGGAACCUUGUGACAGGUUUCCUUCAUGUAUGUGUAUGAAAAGCUCUGUCCAUGUCCUUGCUACAUGAGUGCAAUGCCUGCAGAGGCCAGAAGAGCGCCUCAGAUCUCUUGGGCGAUCUCUCCAGCUCCAAAGGCCAUUUUAAUGAGGUCUUUUUGAAGAAUUUGGAGGACCAAUUUGCAAUUUUUGGAGCCUCCACUUAAUAUUUGAGGAAGAUUAGGUUAUAAAAUAUGUAUGUACAUACAAUUUUCCAGUCUUGGCAGUUGGUUCUAAGCUCAUGUAUUUAUGAAGUGUCGCUGCCUCGGCCCUUUAAGAGAUUGCUUGAAUUUUGUUUAUUUACUCAAUUAAUUAAUUUAUUAAUUUAUUUUUGGAGAGGAAAGGGUUUAUUUUGCUUAUACUUCAAGGUAAAAGUCCAUCACUGAGAGAAUCUAGUGGCAGAAACUGAUGCAGAGGCCACAGAGGAGUGCUGCUUACUGGCUUGUAUCUUGUGUCUUGCCCAGUCUUCUUUGUACCAUCGAGGACCACCAGCUGAAGAGUGGCACUGAUUCCACUGAAUUCUGUUCUUCCACAUCAUUCAUCAAUCAGAAAAGUGGCCCAGAAGCUUGCCCUCAAACUAAUUGGUGGAGAAAUUUUCUCAAUUGUGGUUUCUUCUGUUAAGUUGACAUAAAGCUAGCCAGUACAAUUGAACCCUUGUCAGUUCAACACACAAACAUAUAACUGUUAUGCCAUAACUAUUUCUUUCUUGUUCAUCUCCAAGAAUAUUACAAUAUAAAACAUACAUAAAAUUAAAGGAUCUACAGUCUUUAUAA